CGCAAGAGAAAGUCCGCACAGAGCCUCGUCCAGCACUAACGUGCUCCUUAUGCCGCCAGCAUUACUGGUUGAAGCUGGCUACUUAUUCACCAGUUUCUUAUUCGAAGAAUCCGUGCCACCUGAAGUGAGAGAUGCUAUUUUGACAGAAUCCUGUAGAGGGCUCCAUAAAUGUUUUCAGCAUUUCAUUAAUUUCAUGGUUUUGGACACAGGACCAUAUGAAAUUAAGGUGGUCUUUUAAAUAAAAUUAAAUUUCACAACCUCUAAUCGAUGUGAUCUUGCCCAUGUCGGUUACUUUACUUAUUUACUUAUUUUUAUUCUGUUAAUACUGUAGUGUCGGUGGGGACUGAAUAUCCCUGUAAAUUCACGAGCCUUGCAUAUAGCCAUGUUUGUAUGUUCUAUUAAUAGCCCUUGUAUGUAUUUGUUAGUGUAAUUACUUGUGCUCCUGACUGUCGCGUGUGACCUGUGUCAUAUAUGUAAUCCUGACGUGUUCUAGUGUUAAGCAAUUACCCGGCACAUCUGUGCUUUACUGUCCUCAGUGUAACCUCUCCGUGUUUCGGUGCCGUUGGGUAUCGCUGUAAUGUUGCUUAAGUGGGGUCUUUUUCAUGAUUAGAUUAAAAAAGUGCAAUUCCGUGCCUUCUCAUGUUUGUUUGCUUGCCGUCGCAAUACCUCAAUCUCCUCGGCGCUACAGUACUUAAACAAAAAUCUGUUAAUACUUUUCCCAGUGUGUGCUUAUGUAGGGCAGUGGUUCUCAAAGUCGGUCCUCGGGCCGCACUGCUCUGCUUGUUUUCCUGCUGUCCCUGCCCCACACACAAGUCCCAGCUGUCUAUCAGCUUCUGAUUGACUGAACACACCUGAUCCAGGUAAUCAGCAGUGUGUAGGGCAGGGAUAGCUGGAAAACAAGCAGGGCAGUGGGUCCUGAGGACCGAGUUCGAGAACCACUGAUGUAGGGCCAUGUACAUACUACUGCGUGUGUUGUCACGUGACUCCGGUCUGUGACAUGGAAGCAGUACGGAGGAGAACUCAAACACCAAACCGACUUAGAAAUUGGAGCUGCUUGUACUAAAGAAAAAAGUCCUGUCCAUUGUCUGGACAAAAAUGAUGAUGAAAAAAGAAAGUAAUUUUCUGUCAAUUACUAAUAUAGGCUCAUCAAAGUUUGUGAGAAACUGCCAAAAGCGAGCCAAGGAGAUGCAGUACAAAACUACAAUAAGUGACAUUUUAUGUACAAUAGUGUACUGUAUUAUAGCGUAUUUGAAUUAUACACAGUUCAGUAAUUUAAUUUGUGCUGUAAUUGUACCGUAAUUUGAAAGUGUUUGAAACUGCUGUAAUCACUGAUAGCACCAUGUUAUUGUUUCAACAUUGAAUUAUAGUUAAAUGCAUUGAAUUAUGGUCAGUGUUAAAUUAUCAACAUUGAAACUGAAUAGAUUUUUGGUCAGAUUUUCAAUAUUGGAAAAUUGAUAGUGAAAAAACCUUGAUUCAAUGUUCAUAUAAAGUUAAACAUUGAAUAUCAA